rnacentral:rRNA from 1 species
CCUACGGGUGGCAGCAGUGGGGAAUAUUGCACAAUGGGGGAAACCCUGAUGCAGCGACGCCGCGUGAAGGAAGAAGUAUUUCGGUAUGUAAACUUCUAUCAGCAGGGAAGAAAAUGACGGUACCUGACUAAGAAGCCCCGGCUAACUACGUGCCAGCAGCCGCGGUAAUACGUAGGGGGCAAGCGUUAUCCGGAUUUACUGGGUGUAAGGGGAGCGUAGGCGGUAAUGCAAGUCAGAAGUGAAAGCCCGGGGCUCAACUCCGGGACUGCUUUUGAAACUGUGUUGCUAGAGUGCAGGAGAGGUAAGUGGAAUGCCUAGUGUAGCGGUGAAAUGCGUAGAUAUUAGGAGGAACACCAGUGGCGAAGGCGGCUUACUGGACUGUAAAUGACGCUGAGGCUCGAAAGCGUGGGGAGCAAACAGGAUUAGAUACCCGAGUAGUC